ACUACAAGAAAGGUGGCCUUUUAGCGACGACCCCUUUAGCGGCGACAACAAAUAAGUCGUCGCUAAAAGCCCAAUCCGUGUCCAGGCUUUAAAACCAAUCCCUGAUCGUUGAUCUUGGGUACAUCUGACGGUCCAGGUUUUAUUUAACUUUAGGAGUACAAAACCUAUGGCGGGCAAACCAUUCACUCAUUCCCCCCCAAAUCGAUCCACUGGCACUCCCGCCAAAUCGAUCCAUGAGCCCUCCCCCAAAUCCCACGGUGCUGCCAGAUUGCUUCAACCCGGCGACAGCCGUCGCUCGCCGCCACGACCUGCAGCCUUCGGAGUCAACUUACCUCCUCAGUCGCUCGCGCGCCGCACCUCGUCCGCUGCACCAGAUUUUAAAGUCAAAUAAUGUUGGGUACAGCGUUGAGAGGGGGGAUGUUGAGAUAAUGAGAGGGCAUGGCUGAAAUUGUGUGCUUGGUAUAAGGUAGCAUCGUCAAAGAUUUGGUGAGCCCUUCUUAUCUAUGGCUUCUUAUCCUAAUAAUAAUUAAGAAACUCUCUAAAGGUUAUUGCCUUUUCAUCUUUUUUGUUUUUUGAAAUAUUUGGUGUAUAUUUUUAAAGAUACCUUUUUUGGUGAAUUUUAGGUUAAAGGAGUUUGCUUUUGAUUGAUACAUGCUCUUUUGGUGUGUAAGUUAUGUGGUUUCUAGGAUGGAUAAGAUUAGGGGUGAAUUGUUUUGAGCUACUAGUUGGUUCCUGUUAUGGUUUUUAUUUGAAUAGAAGGGUGUUAAAUUGGUCAAUUGCUUGGGCACUUUACUAGAAAAUUAGAAAAGAAAGUAAUACAGAGGAGACCGAUUUGGGUUAGGUGUAGCACUAGUACUGAAGCAGAAGUUAAAAGUUUUAUUUAUGUAACGUUUUUGGGCUAAUAAAUGGACACUCACAUACCCUUCUGCUUAGUUGUUUAGAUGCUCGCUGAACGUUUUGAGGUUUAUUAUUGACUUUGGUUAAUUGUUCUUAAAAACUAAUUGGCAAAAAAGAGCACAAAUAGGAUCUCUAUGAGUGAAAUGAAGCUCCCUUUUAUGACUUUGGUUAACUGUUCUUGAAAUGAAGCUUCCCUUUAUGAUGUUUUUUGGGAUAAAAACCAUAUUUACUUUUGAAUUCAAUAGUAUGUUUUCUAGGGAUAACUGAGCUAUGCCCAACGAUAUCUUGUUACUUUUAGUGGCAACGGUGGUCUAUGUUGUCAAAGACGCAAGGCGCACGCGAGGCGCAUCGGCCUUGCCCGGAGCCUAGGCGCAAGGCGCAAAAAAGUGUGGGCUUUUUAAAGAAAAGCGUACAUAGAGCAAAAUAUAAAAAUGUGUUUCUUAGCUGGAAUUUGGUUGAACUCGUGCGUGCCCACACGUCCUGCGGACACGAAUGCAGCUCCAAAAACACGGGCCAGCGUGAGGCAGUUUUUGCACGCACUCGGUUUCGUUUUUUUUUUCAGUUUUUCUGCUUAUCCACUGCGCCUCAACACCGUUUUUGCGCCUAGGCGCGCGCCUUUUUGCGCCUCAGCAACGUUUUUUUUUCAAAAAAACCCGUUUUUGCGCCUAGGCUACCACCAGGCGCUAUAGGUGCGCCUCGCUGCGCCCGGGCGCCUAGGCACACGCUUUUUGCGCUUUUGACAACAUAGACGGUUGUUAGUGCAUAUCACAUUUUAGCAAUUACUCUCUUUAUUAGGGUUCAGAAACAUAUAAUAGUAUCAAGUUUCUCUAGGAAAGAAAGUGCUUUCGGAUGCAUGGACUUUGGAUACCGCUCAAAAACUGUAUGAAUGGCUGAGGCUGAAUACAGAAGGAGAUAAACCUUCAGCUAGAAUGUAUGCUACAGCUGGUGCUCGCUCGGAUGGUAUGUUUUUGCUUUGUGGUGGAAGAGACACUUCAGGCGUGGUAGGACUUAGCGUUUAUGUGUAUGUUUUAUAGCGUUUAUGUGUAUGGACUCUUGCACCUGGAGUUUCACCGUCAUCAAGGUACCAACAUGCUGCGCCUGACAGGGUUACAGACAUCUGUAAUAGAAACAAACUUUAGUUGAUUAUAAGAGCACACGAAUGUGUAAUGAAUGGGUUCGAGCGAUUUGUUCACGGACAGUUAAUUACCCUUUUCUCUGCGACAAACUAUUGUGGGACUGCUAAUAAUGCUGGACCUUUACUAGUGAUCGGCAGGGGAUUGGUGUUUGUUCCAAAACUGAUUCACCCGUUGCCACCACCACUUGAACCAGAAACAUCUCCAAAAUCUGUUGAAGAGCGCCACUAGAUGCAGGUAAUGAUUUUUGGCUUUUUGAAGAAAAGAGGGUCGAUCCAAACAAAAUCUAUUUGAUUUCUAUCUUUCUAUUUGUCAAACUACAAAUGUUUGUCGUCCCCGCCACAACACGCGGGUUGAAAGCACUAGUUACUACCGUUUUAAUAUAGUGAUAUAAACAAACUGCUAUGUAAUUUUUGGUUGUUUGAAUGUGAAUUACUGUUUAAUUCUUUGUAUACU